rnacentral:misc_RNA from 1 species
GAUGAAGAACGUAGUGAAAUGCGAUAAGUAAUGUGAAUUGCAGAAUUCAGUGAAUCAUCGAAUCUUUGAACGCACAUUGCGCCCUUUGGUAUUCCGAAGGGCAUGCCUGUUCGAGCGUCAUUUCACCACUCAAGCCUGGCCUGGUAUUGGGCGCCGCGGUCGAUCCGCGCGCCUCAAAGUCUCCGGCUGAGCUGUCCGUCUCUAAGCGUUGUGAUUUCAUUAAUCGCUUCGGAGUGCGGGCGGCCGCGGCCGUUAAAUCUUUCACAAGGUUGACCUCGGAUCAGGUAGGGAUACCCGCUGAACUUAAGCAUAUCAAUAAGCGGAGGA